rnacentral:rRNA from 1 species
CCUAAGUGGGUGGUAAACUCCAUCUAAGGCUAAAUACAACCACGAGACCGAUAGCACACAAGUACCGUGAGGGAAAGGUGAAAAGAACUUUGAAGAGAGAGUUCAAGAGUACGUGAAACUGAGGUGGUGUAAACGGACGAGAUCGAAAAGUCCGAAUGGGGAGAUUCAGGCUCAUCCGUGUCGGUGGCCAGUUCGGGUUCAGAUGGUGCGGUCGGCUCGGGCCCCUCGGGGCGCCGGGUUYGCUCCGUAUUCACUCGUCCCGGCGGUAUCUGUCUGGCGCGGUGAGCUGCACUUCUCCCCUAGUAGGACGUCGCGACCCGUUGGGAUGUUCCGAUCUCAUGGCCCGUGGUGGAGCCCAUGCCGGAGCGGCAGGCUUGCUUGCCGUUGCUGUGCGUGGACCCGCGGUGACCUGAUUGGCGCCCGACGGUAUCAAAGCAUUUGGGAAGUGACCGCACAGAGGUUGCGUCCGAUGCCCUCAAUUGGGCUACACUCGGACAGGUCAGUACCCGGUCUGCGGCGCUACUGCUUUCGAUACUCGUCCGA